UACGUAGGGGGCGAGCGUUGUCCGGAGUACUGGGCGUAAAGCGCACGCAGGCGGUGCUGCACGUUUGGGGUUACAGCUCCCGGCUCAACCGGGAGAGCGCCUCGAAGACGGCAGCACUUGAGGGCCAGAGAGGGACACGGAACUCCGGGUGGAGUGGUGAAAUGCGUAGAUAUCCGGAAGAACACCAAAGGCGAAGGCAGUGUCCUGGCUGGUUCCUGACGCUGAGGUGCGAAAGCUAGGGGAGC
rnacentral:rRNA from 1 species